GACGUCGAUCCCACGUUGGUCGAGUUCAACUCUUCUUCACUUUCUAGUUUUCUACCCCAAGUACCAUAUCGAUUGUCCAUUGUUGUGAAAACUCAAUCGUUGUUUUUCAUUUCAUAAUUAUUCGAAAUCAUUUUUAAUGCUUAAUUAUUUUUAAUAUCGAUGAGAAAAUAAUUCGAUCAGACUAUUGAUUAAUAAAAAUAAUUAUAGACUAUUCUUCUAUUUUAAUCAUGAACAUACUUAAAUUAACUUAAAUAACUAAACAACUCCCAUAGAAGAUUGAAAACGUUUCUUGCAUAGAAAUGAAGAGGAUUAGAGGAUUUCCGAUUUGUGCUAAGCAUCCUCACUUUUCGUGACAUUUCAAGGAGGCUGCAUAUGUACUAUGGACUCACAUCAUCAACACAUCUGGACGCUGUGGAGACACCCCACGAAGGGACAAGACCAAAGCACAUGAUCUACGGAAGAAUUGACCUAGUUGCCUAUAAACCGAUCAGCCGAUGGUGAGGAGUGGCUGCUACGCGCGUGAUUCUAUUUUGAAUCAACGUGAUCUAUGUUUAGACGACGCGCUGACGCUCCCUAUAAGUUCAAGCAGCAGAUUAUGAACCCCUGACGCCGCCGCAAGCACUAGAGAUCACGAAACUCAGCAAUAGUGAACAUAAUUGGUUACGCGUGCCAAAAUUAUGCUUUCGACAAAACGACCAAGAAUUUCAAAUCCGGCCAAAGACCCGUGAAUGACUCAAACUCCUCUCUACUCAUUUUCAUCAAUUUAUCAAAAUUAACCACACUUAUAAUAAUAACUCUCAUCUUUACUGCUAUCCCGGAAGAUGAUGAAAGACUUAACGAUACGAAACAUUCCAAUGCAUCUAAAGAUUUUUAAUUAAUUCAAAUUAUUCAAAUAAAUUUUCUUUUUUAAUUUUAAAUUCUUAUUUUAAUCUGCAAAAAAUGAAUUUUAUUUACUUCUUAUUACUCCAAUUAAUAAUCACUGAACUGAAUCACAACCGAGAUUGAAUAAUUUUGAUACAAAAGCACGUAACGAAGUAAAGUAAUCACUUGAAGAGAGUACCCGAAGUCUGAACUCAAGUAGAAGAAUCAAAUUUCCAAGAAAUAAUAUUUCCAGAAGUACGUACCGUGCACGGGACAGAAUGUGAUGGCGUCUGUGCUGAGGAGCGUCGCGACGUCCAAUAUAUGCUCUCGUCCAGACGCCCCCGCAUUUCCGUACAUCAGGUUUUACUCGACAGGCACGAAAAAGGCGUGCGUCUCGGAGCAUCGCGACGCUCUCCGAACUAGGCGACCUUAUGCUCCAAAACUGGAUUCGCUACUUGAUUCUUUGACCCGUAAAACACUUUCUUUGAUACUUUCUUUAUUUAUCAUUCUCUCCUUAAACCCUUCCAGCUAGUCUAUUUCCAACUUUUCUCUGAAUUAUUUAGAUAUUUUAAUUGGAGAUGACUUUUUACAGGACUUGAGUUUUAUUAAUUCCAAAGUUUUUAGGAAAAUUCAAACUUUCAUGAUGAAAAUGAUGAGAGGAGAUAUAUUUGCUUUGUUCAAUAUUUAUAAAGUUAGCAUGACAAUAUUAAAUAAAAUACUAAUUAAUUAUUUAAAUAAUAUGUUCAAUAAAUAUUAUUUGUUUAAUUCUUCUGAAAGAAAUAAUUGGUUCAGUAUUUUUCAACUUCUCAAAAAAGCAUGAAUAAAAAUAAUUGUUCCAUAUUUCUGGGUGGCCUAAAAUAUUUUAAAAAUAUUUUGGACUAUAAGUGUUAUCAGGGUAGCACACUUUCUAAAUUUUCCAGCUUCUCCCUAAUCGAUAUUUAUAAUCAAAGAACGACUUCUUUUACGAAGAACUACUUUUAAUAAUAAAAAGAAACUAAAAGAAAACAA
rnacentral:lncRNA from 1 species